rnacentral:lncRNA from 1 species
GCCAGUUUAGGAUGUGAACCCAGGUCUCCUGCCUUUGGUUCUAGUGCUCCUUUUUGAUCUGCGAAAUAAGAUUCAUUUAUGUUCCCCCAAACUGAUAAGUAGGUUUCCCUGGUGGGUGGCUCAGCGGUAAAGAAUCCGCCUGCCAAUGCAGAAGAAGCAGGUUUGAUCCUGGGGUUGAGAAGCUCCCCUGGAGAAGGAAAUGACAAGCCACUUCAGUAUUCUUGCCUGGAGAAUCUCAUAGACAGAGGAGCCUGGCGGGGUCCACGGGGUCACGAAAAGAGCUGGACACAGCUGAGCGACUAAACAACAAACUGAUAGGCAGGUGAAGGAAAUCUUUCCUUCUGACUGCCCAGAGUGGUUUUUCUCAGCACUAUCAUUCGGGGACGUUGAAACAUUACUUCUUCUGGUGCCUGGUAGGAAAACGCCCCACCCCACCUCUGCCCCCGCAAUCUGAGCGCCGCCCCCCCCCCCCCCCCCCCCGCAAUCUGAGGGGCCACAGAGGGGUAAAAUAGUGGGGAGUCACUGGAGCUUUCUCAGAGUCCUGGGGUGGGGGUUGGGGUGGGGUGGAACUGUUCGUUUGAAAUGUAAUAAAGGUUCCUCUCCACCAAACAGGGAGAAAAGCAAGGCUGUGAACACUUUAGAGUCAGCGCGGGAGGUCUUGUCGAUCCUAGCCUACCAACCAAUCAGCAGGGAUAGAUUCGACUCCGACUGCGAGCUCUUGGAUGCUAGAAGUUACCAAGGAUACGUAGGCUCUGCCCUGAAGGGAUGUGGAACCCAUUUGAAUCUGAAUCUAUGAAAUUGGAAGUUGAGUUGAAAAAAGCUUGGUAAC